rnacentral:rRNA from 1 species
UACGUAGGGUGCAAGCGUUAAUCGGAAUUACUGGGCGUAAAGCGUGCGCAGGCGGUUAUGUAAGACAGAUGUGAAAUCCCCGGGCCCAACCUGGGAACUGCAUUUGUGACUGCAUAGCUAGAGUACGGUAGAGGGGGAUGGAAUUCCGCGUGUAGCAGUGAAAUGCGUAGAUAUGCGGAGGAACACCGAUGGCGAAGGCAAUCCCCUGGACCUGUACUGACGCUCAUGCACGAAAGCGUGGGGAGCAAACAGG